rnacentral:lncRNA from 1 species
GCCACAGAUCUUGAAAACACUGAAGAAGGCUCCAGUGAAAGCCCAGCUGCUGAGCUCUUGAAUGUGCCACGCCCUCUCCUUCAAAAGGAUAACAUCUUAAAGGGUUCUGUUUGGUUUUCCUGUGUCGCUGAAAAGUAACAAAAAACCCAGGCAUAGUGACAAUUGGCUAACACCUGUUGAGGGCCCCCUGUGGGCCAAGAUUUGGGAAGGCAUCCAAAUCUCUGUUAGCGCUUUAAUCUUCCCUAGGUGGCUAUUGAGGCUCAGAGAGGGUGAGCAGCUGGCUGGGGGUGUGACCGGUGAGAACCCUCUAGAGCUAGGAUCUGAACCAGGGCAAACGGGUGCCCAGGACGAACAGAUUCCACCACCAAUCACGGCAUGAAGCAUUACUAUGGGCACCCCUCUGUGGACUCCUUGUGAGACUCUCUGAAACCGUGUCCUCCCAGGAUUGUCAAAGAAAACAGGAAGCCCCUCCUGGGGAGGCUCACCCCCGCCCCAUCCCCACAAGCCAGGAAGUGACUGGCAGAAAGAUAGACACCUAGCAAGGCCAGGAGCACCCGGGCUGGGAGCCUGGAGCCAUCAUCGGGCGGAGCCCGGAGCCAAGUCCCCUGGGGUCCAAGGGCUGCAUUCCUCCCAGGUCUGCAGAGGCCACCGCUUAAAGGCGCAGAGGAGCAGCUGGGAACGAGAACAAAGCGGCCAGGCCCCCCUCGGAGGAAGGAAGGAGCGAGCCCCAGGAAGCAGCUGAUAACGCUAAGCUCAGCUUGUUUUUUCCUCUGCUCAACAGUUCUCCUGCCACGGCAAACAAAAGAUGUACGUUCUGAUUCCCUCCCGUGUUUGGAUUGCGCCGCUUCUGCUUUCUGAUGAGCUGGGGGAGAGGCAUCCCGGGCAGCUUCUGGCUCGCCUUGCCAGAUGAUGGCAGAGUCCGCCCUGCCUGUCCCCAGCCUAGACGCCUAGCUGCACCAGGCAGGGCAUCGCUUUUGACGAUGGAAUGUGAUGUAGUGAGUGCUGCGGGUUGACUCGUGACCUAGGCUUUGAAGGAACUGCAGCUCAGGACAUGUAAAACUGUUUAGAUGGGAACCCUGGCCUUUCUCAGCUCUAUCGAGAGGCCCCGCCCCGCUAUCGUCUCAGCCAAAGUCACAACCCACUAUUGUGCAAGGGCCGCCUGGGAACACACAAGGUGCAGUCUGCCCUUCCCGGAUCGUGCCACCUUUCUCCCGUGGUUUAGGGCAAUAGUAAUAGAGGACAGGCGAAGAACACCUUCAGGGUCAACUGUGUGUGACAGGUUUUUGGAAAGUUUCUACACCCCAUAAGUCUCUCCGCCCAUGCAGCAAUCCAAAUCAGACCAAAUCAAACUGAAUUAGAAAAAGCCCAUGUUUAAUGGAUACAGCACUCCUGGAUGGCCUUCCAGCCCCCCAGAGAGGAGACAGAAAAUGGAAGAUCAAGAAAACCACAAGUGACUUCCCAUACAUGCAGAGACCAGAAGAGGAAGCUGGGUACCCUGCAACUGAAGACACUGGUUCUUGGGAGCUAGGAGUCAAAGUUAGGUGCUCUGGGAGUGCCUGUGUGCUCUUAUGACUCAGCCAUUCUCCAGCCCUCAGAGCCAUUCUUUAUGUCAUUAAAUUGUCUUUGCAACUGAACUGGAAUGUGUGAAGGGUUGCCACAUACUUCAUAUUGUUAGGAGGCUUCUUGCUAAUGUUUCCCGGCUGCCUGUACUACCAUCUCCUUUCCCACAGAGAAAAGUCCGAGGGCCUAGCAAACACCCUUUCUUCAAAACUAUCAAUCUCCCUGGCCCAGGGGGCCAGUGUAGUGGACAAUCCUGAUUGUGUCAGGUCCUUCAGUGGAUUAUGCUGGGCAUAAAUGAUAUUGAUGUAGUCAAGGAUUCCUCCAGAGGUCUGGGUGAUGGGAUUCCAUGUCCAAGCUAAGUUCUUCCAAAGAUUUGCAUGAGUGGGUGCUUCCCCCAUGGAACGGCAGGAAAAAACGGUAGAAAUGGUCUCUCUGCAGAACCGAAUGACCCCAAUGGGCCAACAGGAUUGUGGGAAGAGGAACCCACUGAACUGGAGUGUAUUUGUUAUUGUAGAUUGUUCUCUGCCAGAUGGCAGCAGGCAGUGGGAGCAGGGAGUCUCCGCUGUCUCGGUUCUCCAUGGUGCCUAGCUUCUUCUUGAUGAAGGGCCCCAGUGACAGCCUCCUCAAAGAGAAGUGAUAAUCCGAAGGGACAUUCCUCUCACAGACAGUUUCAAAGGCAGAGCCCUGAUGAGCCAAGUCUAGGAGAGAAACCAGAUAAAGAGUCACAAGUCGGGCUGGAGAGAUGGCUCAGCGGUUAAGAGCACCGACUGCUCUUCCAGAGGUCCUGAGUUCAAUUCCCAGCAACUACAUGGUGGCUCACAACCAUCCGUUAUGAGAUCUGGUGCCCUCUUCUGGUGUGCAGAUAUACAUGGAAGCAGAAUGUUGUACACAUAAUAAAUAAAUAAAAUCUUUAAAAAAAAAAAAAA